rnacentral:rRNA from 1 species
CUUGCUUCUCUUGAGAGCGGCGGACGGGUGAGUAAUGCCUAGGAAUCUGCCUGGUAGUGGGGGAUAACGUCCGGAAACGGACGCUAAUACCGCAUACGUCCUACGGGAGAAAGCAGGGGACCUUCGGGCCUUGCGCUAUCAGAUGAGCCUAGGUCGGAUUAGCUAGUUGGUGGGGUAAUGGCUCACCAAGGCGACGAUCCGUAACUGGUCUGAGAGGAUGAUCAGUCACACUGGAACUGAGACACGGUCCAGACUCCUACGGGAGGCAGCAGUGGGGAAUAUUGGACAAUGGGCGAAAGCCUGAUCCAGCCAUGCCGCGUGUGUGAAGAAGGUCUUCGGAUUGUAAAGCACUUUAAGUUGGGAGGAAGGGCAGUAAAUUAAUACUUUGCUGUUUUGACGUUACCGACAGAAUAAGCACCGGCUAACUCUGUGCCAGCAGCCGCGGUAAUACAGAGGGUGCAAGCGUUAAUCGGAAUUACUGGGCGUAAAGCGCGCGUAGGUGGUUCGUUAAGUUGGAUGUGAAAUCCCCGGGCUCAACCUGGGAACUGCAUUCAAAACUGACGAGCUAGAGUAUGGUAGAGGGUGGUGGAAUUUCCUGUGUAGCGGUGAAAUGCGUAGAUAUAGGAAGGAACACCAGUGGCGAAGGCGACCACCUGGGACUGAUACUGACACUGA